rnacentral:rRNA from 1 species
CAACAGGGAUUGCCCUAGUAACGGCGAGUGAAGCGGCAACAGCUCAAAUUUGAAAUCUGGCCCCCCCGGGUCCGAGUUGUAAUUUGUAGAGGAUGCUUUUGGCGCGGUGCCUUCCGAGUUCCCUGGAACGGGACGCCUUAGAGGGUGAGAGCCCCGUACGGUUGGACACCAAGCCUCUGUAAAGCUCCUUCGACGAGUCGAGUAGUUUGGGAAUGCUGCUCUAAAUGGGAGGUAAAUUUCUUCUAAAGCUAAAUAUUGGCCAGAGACCGAUGGCGCACAAGUAGAGUGAUCGAAAGAUGAAAAGCACUUUGAAAAGAGGGUUAAAUAGCACGUGAAAUUGUUGAAAGGGAAGCGUUUGCGACCAGACCUUUUCCUGGCGGAUCAUCCGGUGUUCUUCACCGGUGCACUUCGCCAGGUCGAGGCCAGCAUCGGUUUCCACGGGGGGAUAAAGGCUCUGGGAACGUAGCUCCCUCGGGAGUGUUAUAGCCCUCUGCAUAAUACCCUCGCGGGGACCGAGGACCGCGCCUUCGGGCAAGGAUGCUGGCGUAAUGGUCGUCAACGA